UACGGGGGGGGCAAGCGUUGUUCGGAAUUACUGGGCGUAAAGGGCUCGUAGGCGGCCAACUAAGUCAGACGUGAAAUCCCUCGGCUUAACCGGGGAACUGCGUCUGAUACUGGAUGGCUAGAGGUUGGGAGAGGGAUGCGGAAUUCCAGGUGUAGCGGUGAAAUGCGUAGAUAUCUGGAGGAGCACCGGUGGCGAAGGCGGCAUCCUGGACCAACACUGACGCUGAGUGAGCGAAAGCCAGGGGAGCAAACGGG
rnacentral:rRNA from 1 species